rnacentral:rRNA from 1 species
GACGAACGCUGGCGGCGUGCUUAACACAUGCAAGUCGAGCGGUAAGGCCCUUUCGGGGGUGCACGAGCGGCGAACGGGUGAGUAACACGUGGGUGACCUGCCCUCAGCUCUGGGAUAAGCCUGGGAAACCGGGUCUAAUACCGGAUAUGACUCCAUGACGCAUGUUGUGGGGUGGAAAGCCUUGUGCGGCUGAGGAUGGGCCCGCGGCCUAUCAGCUUGUUGGUGGGGNGAUGGCCUACCAAGGCGACGACGGGUAGCCGGCCUGAGAGGGCGACCGGCCACACUGGGACUGAGACACGGCCCAGACUCCUACGGGAGGCAGCAGUGGGGAAUCUUGCGCAAUGGGCGAAAGCCUGACGCAGCGACGCCGCGUGAGGGAUGACGGCCUGGUGUAAC